rnacentral:rRNA from 1 species
ACUCCUACGGGAGGCAGCAGGUGGGGAAUAUUGCACAAGUGGGCGCAAGCCUGAUGCAGCAACGCCGCGUGAGCGAUGAAGGCCUUCGGUCGUAAAGCUCUGUCCUCAAGGAAGAAUAAAUGACGGUACUUGAGGAGGAAGCCCGGCUAACUACGUGCCAGCAGCCGCGGUAAUACGUAGGGGGCAAGCGUUAUCCGGAAUCACUGGGGCGUAAAGGGGUGCGUAGGCGGUUUUCAAGUCAGAAGUGAAAGGCUAUGGCUCAACCAUAGUAAGCUUUUGAAACUGUAAACUUGAGUGCAGGAGAGGAAAGUGGAAUUCCUAGUGUAGAGGUGAAAUUCGUAGAUAUUAGGAGGAACACCAGUGGCGAAGGCGACUUUCUGGACUGUAACUGACGGCUGAGGCACGAAAGCGUGGGAGCGAACAGGAUUAGAUACCCUGGUAGCACA